UUUAAUGAAGUUUACUCACUGGGACACCAUGGAAAGUCUUUGAACCUGAAAAGGAGGGAGAGGGACCAGCAAGUAGAUGAUGUGCCAGGCUUGUGUCCCUYUCAGCUUUACUGCUCAGUUCCAGACUUUGGGCUGCAGGAGAAGAGAGCUGCUGCUGCUUCUUUCAACCUGCUGAACGAUGUUCAAUCCAGAUGACAACCAGAAGAACACGGAGGUUUUGUAAUAUUAGCUGGGCCAUGCAGGAGCUCUUUGGCAGAGGAGGUGGCCUCCUGAGGGAGCUGUACAACAGCUACACCAGGAGAGAACCCUGCACAGGACACAACAGCUUUUAAAAUGUUAUCAGGGACUACCAGAAAACACCACCACAAACACUCUGAAACACAGGAAGGAAUCCACCAGUUCCAGGAAGACAGCAAGGAUCAAAAGAGCAACGUGCCAGGUAACUGUUAGGCUAAUGGGAAGCAGAGGACAUUCCUAACAUCCCACAAAUCUUCAGCAAAGACCAUGGAAGAAGAGUGCAAAGACACUGAGAAGACAUCACUUCUUAUGUUAACUCAGGAUAAGAAUGAAGCCACUCUCGCCAGCAGAGCGGGUGGGGGAGGUGACACAUCUCCUGCUGCAGCUCAGCCCCCCGUGUUUGUCACAGCUGGCAGAGAGGUGAGACAUCCAUCUCACCAUCCUACCCAGUGAAGGAGAAAGAAGGUGAUUCCUGACCAUCUUCAUCAGCCCUGCAGCUGCCCCAUGGCCUCAAAUAGCCUUUCCCUCUUCCCACCCUCAAAAUGCAACCACUGCCCCAUUCCUCCCUCUCCCUGAGAGGAGAAUUGUCAGUUGUGGUCUCUGAGGGAAGAGCACUGCCCCAGCCAGCCUGGAAUAAAGCUGGAGUGGAGAAUCAAAGCCCAGAUCCAGGCAGAUACUUUGCAGUAACCUAAGAUCCAAUGAACAUCUGGGGAGAUUUUUCAAAGGAGCCAGCAAAUACUCCUGGGUAGGGGCUGUUGCUCCAUCCUGACCCACAGGGGAGCUGCAUUCACACACACACAGGUGGGCCAAACCAGCCCAAACAGGGUGGAAACAGCCAAGCCACUGUUGCCAGUGCUGGCUGCAGCAGCAGAUGGUACACAGCAGAUGGGAUGCCCUGUGCCAACAGCCCCAAGCCUGGAGCAGGCAGCAGCUCCUUGGAGAGCUGAGCAACAGCAAGGCCAGGCACUGAGUCAGACCAUGGCAAGGAGGCUUCUUCCAGAGCAGGAUGAGAUGGAGCAGUAGGUAUGUAAGAUGUUUUUGUUUUUUCCUGAUGUUAUUCUCAUUUUCCCAGGUUCAGACAGCCGUCUGCCAUGUGCUUUAACCAGACACUAAGAUGUGAACCAUGGGCUGGCAUUGCUGUCAUGGGCAAAGGGACAAUGCCAUGCCAUGGGGCCGUGCCAGCCCAUUCCCACAGGGAUUUUGCAUGGGGUGAAGUAGGUUGGGACUGGGUGAAGGAUGCUCUGGCUCUGGCCCCCUACCAAAGGAGGAUUUGUCCAUUACAGUCUCGCUUUUGGGGUGUGGCCUGAAAGGGAGCAUUGGAAUAUUUGUUGGGGAGUUUCCACAUUUUUUACGAAACCCUUGGGUUUUCCUUACCUUGAAUUUGGGAGUAGAUAGCUUAGUAAGCAAUUUUGCGGGUGCCUGGCUCCAAGGUGAUGCUUCUCCCCCGUUGGUUUGUAAAUGCUAUGGAAUGAGUGGUAUAUUUACCUAUUUCUGAGCAAAGGGGAAGCUGUGGUGCAGUUUACCUGAGG